rnacentral:rRNA from 1 species
AUUGAACGCUGGCGGCAUGCCUUACACAUGCAAGUCGAACGGCAGCGGACCUUCGGGUGCCGGCGAGUGGCGAACGGGUGGGUAAUGCAUCGGAACGUGCCAUUGAGUGGGGGAUAACGUAGCGAAAGUUACGCUAAUACCGCAUAUUCUGUGAGCAGGAAAGCAGGGGACCGCAAGGCCUUGCGCUCUUUGAGCGGCCGAUGUCUGAUUAGCUAGUUGGUGGGGUAAAGGCCUACCAAGGCGACGAUCAGUAGCUGGUCUGAGAGGACGAUCAGCCACACUGGGACUGAGACACGGCCCAGACUCCUACGGGAGGCAGCAGUGGGGAAUUUUGGACAAUGGGCGAAAGCCUGAUCCAGCCAUUCCGCGUGAGUGAAGAAGGCCUUCGGUUGUAAGCUCUUCGGUCAGGAACGAAACGGA